UCAUAUAGAGCAAUGGUAGCUCGCUCGAUUCAGGUUCGAGAAGUAGCAGGUUCGAUUCCUGCUAUGACCA
rnacentral:tRNA from 1 species